UCAAGUUGAUUGAUUGAUAGGCUCCAGGUAGAUUUGAUUUCAUUUGAGAUAGAAUUGGGUCGAGAAUUGGGAAGAAAGACAAUGUCCGGAACACUCAGGUGCGUGAUCGUGGCCGUCGAUGGCAGCGAAGAGAGCAUGAACGCCUUGCGAUGGGCUCUCGACAAUCUCAAUCGCCGAUUGCCUGCUCCUGAUUCCGAUUCUCCCGGCCGCUUUCUGAUCCUCCACGUUCAAUCUCCCCCGUCCAUCGCCACCGGCCUCAAUCCCGGCGCAAUCCCCUUUGGCGGUCCCAGUUAUUUGGAGGUGCCUGCCUUCACCGCUGCAAUCGAGGCUCAUCAGAAACGCAUCACUGAGGCCAUCAUCUCACAUGCAUUGGAGAUUUGCUCAGAGAAGAAUGUGAAUAGUAAUAUCAUCGAAACCCAAGUAGUUGUUGGGAAUCCAAAGGAGAAGAUAUGUGAAACUGUUGAAAAUUUGCAUGCUGAUUUCCUUGUGAUGGGCUCUCGAGCUUUUGGUCCUAUUAAAAGGAUGUUUCUGGGAAGUGUCAGCAAUUACUGCUCAAACCAUGCAGAAUGCCCAGUAAUGAUAGUGAAGAAUUCUACUUGACAAGCCCUUUGGUGCCUUGAGUCAGUUGCAUGAGGUGGUUCACGGGAAGCCAAUUGAGCAGCUGCCUGGAACCUCUAUAUAACCUCUGGACUAAUGGCAAUUAAGGCUCCACAAAUUUCAGACCUGCCAAAGGCUGUGCACUUGUCCAUGUCUCCACCUUUCACUACAGCAAGCGUAUCCAGUAAGAUCUGUCAAGCUAUAUAAAAGGUUAAAACAUGAAAGGAAUCUGCAGGGAGUCCUACUCAGUUCGAGUUCAGAAUGGUGUUGUGGGUUGACGAGAAAUCCCUUGUGCUAUGGUUAAAUCUCUGGCCAUUUGGUUUUCACUGAAGAAGUGUAUAUGUGGGAUGUUUCUUCUAGUCUGUUGCAUGUUUCUUAUAGACAAACAAUUUGUUGUUUGUUCAUAUUUGAUUAUUUGCUCUCUUGUGGCUUGUGGCUUUCACGCUUGCUGUCUGUUUGUUUCCUCUUAUAAAUUUCUGAAAGGAACUUCCAUUGUAAAUUAAAUUACUAAGCCUAUUAAAUGCCUUUGCUCAUUGUUUGCCAUUCGCGUCUUGAAUUUAACAAGUAUCAUUACGUA